UUUAGGUGGGUCGGAGUUUAUGGACAACUUUUCCAAGUUGUGACCGGUAAGCCCAUCUUUUUGAGGUAACAACGAGUAGUAUCUGUUAUAGUAAACCAGUCUACAGGCGCGCCUGAGGCGCGCCAGACAUCAGCGGUUCCAGUUCCUGAAAUGCUGGAGAUGCUCAGAGCGCAAGGGGAGCAGGGAGCAUGAUGCAUCUCUUUGGGAUGUUAGCCAUGCAACCUUAGCUCGGCACAAUUGUGAAUGGAAGCGUUAAGCCUGGACUGGGAGUGGAGACAAGGUGAAGAGGAGCCUCGUGCCUGAAGCAACAUUCCGGCUCGCCUUUGUGUUCCUGGUUGAGGAUGGAACCUGCCUCCCAGCAUUCCCAAGCUAAGUUGGGGGGCAAGUGCUGUGUUUGAGCUGGGGCUGUGAAUGGACACACAGGGCGAGGGUCUGUGCUUUUAAGUCAUUGCAGCUGAUGGGGCCUUUCAGAAUUGAUCAUGGUCAGGCAGUGAGAUUAUAUGUGGGGGGUCCUGUCAGGUAUGGCGUGAGCACGUGCCAGACAGGACAGUCCCAGCUAAUUGUCUGUGUUCUGUGUGUUCUGUGUUGUCUGUGCUGUGCUGUUGCUCUU